rnacentral:rRNA from 1 species
UCCGGAGGGGGCGAGCGUUGUUCGGAAUCACUGGGCGUAAAGCGCGUGUAGGCGGUCUACUAAGUCUGAUGUGAAAGCCCGGGGCUCACCCUCGGAAGUGCAUUGGAAACUGGCAGACUGGAGUCCCGGAGAGGAGGGUGGAAUUCCUGGUGUAGCGGUGAAAUGCGUAGAUAUCAGGAGGAACACCGGUGGCGAAGGCGGCCCUCUGGAUGGUGACUGACGCUGAGACGCGAAAGCGUGGGGAGAAAACAGG